UACGGAGGGGGCCAGCGUUGUUCGGAAUCAUUGGGCGUAAAGGGCGCGUAGGCGGCUUUGUAAGUCCGUUGUGAAAUCCCUCGGCUCAACCGAGGAACUGCGACGGAUACUGCUUGGCUUGAGUCCCGGAGAGGGUAGCGGAAUUCCCAGUGUAGCGGUGAAAUGUGUAGAGAUCGGGAGGAACACCGGUGGCGAAGGCGGGUCUCUGGGCAAUUCCUGACGCUGAGGCGCGAAAGCGUGGGGAGCAAACGGG
rnacentral:rRNA from 1 species